rnacentral:rRNA from 1 species
UUAAGCGACUAAGCGUACACGGUGGAUGCCCUGGCAGUCAGAGGCGAUGAAGGACGUGCUAAUCUGCGAUAAGCGUCGGUAAGGUGAUAUGAACCGUUAUAACCGGCGAUUUCCGAAUGGGGAAACCCAGUGUGUUUCGACACACUAUCAUUAACUGAAUCCAUAGGUUAAUGAGGCGAACCGGGGGAACUGAAACAUCUAAGUACCCCGAGGAAAAGAAAUCAACCGAGAUUCCCCCAGUAGCGGCGAGCGAACGGGGAGCAGCCCAGAGCCUGAAUCAGUAUGUGUGUUAGUGGAAGCGUCUGGAAAGGCGCGCGAUACAGGGUGACAGCCCCGUACACAAAAAUGCACAUGCUGUGAGCUCGAUGAGUAGGGCGGGACACGUGGUAUCCUGUCUGAAUAUGGGGGGACCAUCCUCCAAGGCUAAAUACUCCUGACUGACCGAUAGUGAACCAGUACCGUGAGGGAAAGGCGAAAAGAACCCCGGCGAGGGGAGUGAAAAAGAACCUGAAACCGUGUACGUACAAGCAGUGGGAGCACGCUUAGGCGUGUGACUGCGUACCUUUUGUAUAAUGGGUCAGCGACUUAUAUUCUGUAGCAAGGUUAACCGAAUAGGGGAGCCGAAGGGAAACCGAGUCUUAACUGGGCGUUAAGUUGCAGGGUAUAGACCCGAAACCCGGUGAUCUAGCCAUGGGCAGGUUGAAGGUUGGGUAACACUAACUGGAGGACCGAACCGACUAAUGUUGAAAAAUUAGCGGAUGACUUGUGGCUGGGGGUGAAAGGCCAAUCAAACCGGGAGAUAGCUGGUUCUCCCCGAAAGCUAUUUAGGUAGCGCCUCGUGAAUUCAUCUCCGGGGGUAGAGCACUGUUUCGGCAAGGGGGUCAUCCCGACUUACCAACCCGAUGCAAACUGCGAAUACCGGAGAAUGUUAUCACGGGAGACACACGGCGGGUGCUAACGUCCGUCGUGAAGAGGGAAACAACCCAGACCGCCAGCUAAGGUCCAAAGUCAUGGUUAAGUGGGAAACGAUGUGGGAAGGCCCAGACAGCCAGGAUGUUGGCUUAGAAGCAGCCAUCAUUUAAAGAAAGCGUAAUAGCUCACUGGUCGAGUCGGCCUGCGCGGAAGAUGUAACGGGGCUAAACCAUGCACCGAAGCUGCGGCAGCGACGCUGAUGCGUUGUUGGGUAGGGGAGCGUUCUGUAAGCCUGCGAAGGUGUGCUGUGAGGCAUGCUGGAGGUAUCAGAAGUGCGAAUGCUGACAUAAGUAACGAUAAAGCGGGUGAAAAGCCCGCUCGCCGGAAGACCAAGGGUUCCUGUCCAACGUUAAUCGGGGCAGGGUGAGUCGACCCCUAAGGCGAGGCCGAAAGGCGUAGUCGAUGGGAAACAGGUUAAUAUUCCUGUACUUGGUGUUACUGCGAAGGGGGGACGGAGAAGGCUAUGUUGGCCGGGCGACGGUUGUCCCGGUUUAAGCGUGUAGGCUGGUUUUCCAGGCAAAUCCGGAAAAUCAAGGCUGAGGCGUGAUGACGAGGCACUACGGUGCUGAAGCAACAAAUGCCCUGCUUCCAGGAAAAGCCUCUAAGCAUCAGGUAACAUCAAAUCGUACCCCAAACCGACACAGGUGGUCAGGUAGAGAAUACCAAGGCGCUUGAGAGAACUCGGGUGAAGGAACUAGGCAAAAUGGUGCCGUAACUUCGGGAGAAGGCACGCUGAUAUGUAGGUGAAGCGACUUGCUCGUGGAGCUGAAAUCAGUCGAAGAUACCAGCUGGCUGCAACUGUUUAUUAAAAACACAGCACUGUGCAAACACGAAAGUGGACGUAUACGGUGUGACGCCUGCCCGGUGCCGGAAGGUUAAUUGAUGGGGUUAGCGCAAGCGAAGCUCUUGAUCGAAGCCCCGGUAAACGGCGGCCGUAACUAUAACGGUCCUAAGGUAGCGAAAUUCCUUGUCGGGUAAGUUCCGACCUGCACGAAUGGCGUAAUGAUGGCCAGGCUGUCUCCACCCGAGACUCAGUGAAAUUGAACUCGCUGUGAAGAUGCAGUGUACCCGCGGCAAGACGGAAAGACCCCGUGAACCUUUACUAUAGCUUGACACUGAACAUUGAGCCUUGAUGUGUAGGAUAGGUGGGAGGCUUUGAAGUGUGGACGCCAGUCUGCAUGGAGCCGACCUUGAAAUACCACCCUUUAAUGUUUGAUGUUCUAACGUGGACCCGUGAUCCGGGUUGCGGACAGUGUCUGGUGGGUAGUUUGACUGGGGCGGUCUCCUCCUAAAGAGUAACGGAGGAGCACGAAGGUUGGCUAAUCCUGGUCGGACAUCAGGAGGUUAGUGCAAUGGCAUAAGCCAGCUUGACUGCGAGCGUGACGGCGCGAGCAGGUGCGAAAGCAGGUCAUAGUGAUCCGGUGGUUCUGAAUGGAAGGGCCAUCGCUCAACGGAUAAAAGGUACUCCGGGGAUAACAGGCUGAUACCGCCCAAGAGUUCAUAUCGACGGCGGUGUUUGGCACCUCGAUGUCGGCUCAUCACAUCCUGGGGCUGAAGUAGGUCCCAAGGGUAUGGCUGUUCGCCAUUUAAAGUGGUACGCGAGCUGGGUUUAGAACGUCGUGAGACAGUUCGGUCCCUAUCUGCCGUGGGCGCUGGAGAACUGAGGGGGGCUGCUCCUAGUACGAGAGGACCGGAGUGGACGCAUCACUGGUGUUCGGGUUGUCAUGCCAAUGGCACUGCCCGGUAGCUAAAUGCGGAAGAGAUAAGUGCUGAAAGCAUCUAAGCACGAAACUUGCCCCGAGAUGAGUUCUCCCUGACCCUUUAAGGGUCCUGAAGGAACGUUGAAGACGACGACGUUGAUAGGCCGGGUGUGUAAGCGCAGCGAUGCGUUGAGCUAACCGGUACUAAUGAACCGUGAGGCUUAACCUU